rnacentral:pre_miRNA from 1 species
CAUACUUGUUCCGCUCUAGCAGCACGUAAAUAUUGGCGUAGUGAAGUAAAUAUUAAACACCAAUAUUAUUGUGCUGCUUUAGUGUGACAGGGAUA